rnacentral:rRNA from 1 species
UGUUAGUGGCAGACGGGUGAGUAAUGCGUAGGAAUCACCUAGUAGUACGGAAUGGCCAUUAGAAAUGAUGGGUAAUACUGUAUAAUCCCUGCGGGGGAAAGAUUUAUCGCUAUUAGAUGAGCCUACGUUAGAUUAGCUAGUUGGUAAGGUAAUGGCUUACCAAGGCUAUGAUCUAUAGCUGGUCUGAGAGGACGAUCAGCCACACUGGAACUGAGAUACGGUCCAGACUCCUACGGGAGGCAGCAGUGGGGAAUAUUGGACAAUGGGCGAAAGCCUGAUCCAGCUAUGCCGCGUGAGUGAAGAAGGCCUUCGGGUUGUAAAGCUCUUUCAAUAGGGAAGAUAAUGACGGUACCUAUAA